UUUUGUAUAAUGGGUCAGCGACUUAUAUUCUGUAGCAAGGUUAACCGAAUAGGGGAGCCGAAGGGAAACCGAGUCUUAACUGGGCGUUAAGUUGCAGGGUAUAGACCCGAAACCCGGUGAUCUAGCCAUGGGCAGGUUGAAGGUUGGGUAACACUAACUGGAGGACCGAACCGACUAAUGUUGAAAAAUUAGCGGAUGACUUGUGGCUGGGGGUGAAAGGCCAAUCAAACCGGGAGAUAGCUGGUUCUCCCCGAAAGCUAUUUAGGUAGCGCCUCGUGAAUUCAUCUCCGGGGGUAGAGCACUGUUUCGGCAAGGGGGUCAUCCCGACUUACCAACCCGAUGCAAACUGCGAAUACCGGAGAAUGUUAUCACGGGAGACACACGGCGGGUGCUAACGUCCGUCGUGAAGAGGGAAACAACCCAGACCGCCAGCUAAGGUCCCAAAGUCAUGGUUAAGUGGGAAACGAUGUGGGAAGGCCCAGACAGCCAGGAUGUUGGCUUAGAAGCAGCCAUCAUUUAAAGAAAGCGUAAUAGCUCACUGGUCGAGUCGGCCUGCGCGGAAGAUGUAACGGGGCUAAACCAUGCACCGAAGCUGCGGCAGCGACACUAUGUGUUGUUGGGUAGGGGAGCGUUCUGUAAGCCUGUGAAGGUGUACUGUGAGGUAUGCUGGAGGUAUCAGAAGUGCGAAUGCUGACAUAAGUAACGAUAAAGCGGGUGAAAAGCCCGCUCGCCGGAAGACCAAGGGUUCCUGUCCAACGUUAAUCGGGGCAGGGUGAGUCGACCCCUAAGGCGAGGCCGAAAGGCGUAGUCGAUGGGAAACAGGUUAAUAUUCCUGUACUUGGUGUUACUGCGAAGGGGGGACGGAGAAGGCUAUGUUGGCCGGGCGACGGUUGUCCCGGUUUAAGCGUGUAGGCUGGUUUUCCAGGCAAAUCCGGAAAAUCAAGGCUGAGGCGUGAUGACGAGGCACUACGGUGCUGAAGCAACAAAUGCCCUGCUUCCAGGAAAAGCCUCUAAGCAUCAGGUAACAUCAAAUCGUACCCCAAACCGACACAGGUGGUCAGGUAGAGAAUACCAAGGCGCUUGAGAGAACUCGGGUGAAGGAACUAGGCAAAAUGGUGCCGUAACUUCGGGAGAAGGCACGCUGAUAUGUAGGUGAAGCGACUUGCUCGUGGAGCUGAAAUCAGUCGAAGAUACCAGCUGGCUGCAACUGUUUAUUAAAAACACAGCACUGUGCAAACACGAAAGUGGACGUAUACGGUGUGACGCCUGCCCGGUGCCGGAAGGUUAAUUGAUGGGGUUAGCGGUAACGCGAAGCUCUUGAUCGAAGCCCCGGUAAACGGCGGCCGUAACUAUAACGGUCCUAAGGUAGCGAAAUUCCUUGUCGGGUAAGUUCCGACCUGCACGAAUGGCGUAAUGAUGGCCAGGCUGUCUCCACCCGAGACUCAGUGAAAUUGAACUCGCUGUGAAGAUGCAGUGUACCCGCGGCAAGACGGAAAGACCCCGUGAACCUUUACUAUAGCUUGACACUGAACAUUGAGCCUUGAUGUGUAGGAUAGGUGGGAGGCUUUGAAGUGUGGACGCCAGUCUGCAUGGAGCCGGCCUUGAAAUACCACCCUUUAAUGUUUGAUGUUCUAACGUUGGCCCCUGAUCGGGGUUGCGGACAGUGUCUGGUGGGUAGUUUGACUGGGGCGGUCUCCUCCUAAAGAGUAACGGAGGAGCACGAAGGUUGGCUAAUCCUGGUCGGACAUCAGGAGGUUAGUGCAAUGGCAUAAGCCAGCUUGACUGCGAGCGUGACGGCGCGAGCAGGUGCGAAAGCAGGUCAUAGUGAUCCGGUGGUUCUGAAUGGAAGGGCCAUCGCUCAACGGAUAAAAGGUACUCCGGGGAUAACAGGCUGAUACCGCCCAAGAGUUCAUAUCGACGGCGGUGUUUGGCACCUCGAUGUCGGCUCAUCACAUCCUGGGGCUGAAGUAGGUCCCAAGGGUAUGGCUGUUCGCCAUUUAAAGUGGUACGCGAGCUGGGUUUAGAACGUCGUGAGACAGUUCGGUCCCUAUCUGCCGUGGGCGCUGGAGAACUGAGGGGGGCUGCUCCUAGUACGAGAGGACCGGAGUGGACGCAUCACUGGUGUUCGGGUUGUCAUGCCAAUGGCACUGCCCGGUAGCUAAAUGCGGAAGAGAUAAGUGCUGAAAGCAUCUAAGCACGAAACUUGCCCCGAGAUGAGUUCUCCCUGAGACUUAGAGUCUC
rnacentral:rRNA from 1 species